UUGGAGGGCAAGUCUGGUGCCAGCAGCCGCGGUAAUUCCAGCUCCAAUAGCGUAUAUUAAAGUUGUUGCAGUUAAAAAGCUCGUAGUUGAAUUUCGGGGUCAGCAGGUUGGUCGUGCCAAUGGUAUGCACUGGCCUUGGUGAUUCCUCCCUCUUGUAGAACCGUAAUGCCAUUAAGUUGGUGUUGCGGGGAAACAGGACUGUUACUUUGAAAAAAUUAGAGUGUUUAAAGCAGGCUAACGCCUGAAUACAUUAGCAUGGAAUAAUGAAAUAGGACGAUCGAUCCUAUUUUGUUGGUUUCUAGGAUUGACGUAAUGAUUAAUAGGGAUAGUUGGGGGCAUUAGUAUUCAAUUGUCAGAGGUGAAAUUCUUGGAUUUAUUGAAGACUAACUACUGCGAAAGCAUUUGCCAAGGAUGUUUUCAUUAAUCAAGAACGAAAGUUAGGGGAUCGAAGACGAUCAGAUACCGUCGUAGUCUUAACCAUAAACUAUGCCGACUAGGGAUCGGAUGAUGUUAAUUUUUUAAUGACUCAUUCGGCGCCUUACGGGAAAC
rnacentral:rRNA from 1 species